AUACCUGUGCCAUAACUAUGAACAUUUCACCUCCCUACAGGAUUUCGCAGUGAGGAUGACCAGGAAAUAGUACCAUCAUGCUCUUACCAAUUAAAAUCCACAUUACUGGUGACACAAGUGUUAUCAAACUCGAACAAUGGCUUCUUUGACAAAACCAGAUAGGAGUCCGCACACAGUUGAGGCCCACAGACUAAGUGAGGCCUUCACUUCACCCUUAUCACCAAACCCAUGGGUACAGCCCACAAACUCACGUCAUGUGAGGAUCUAGAGCCUAAUACCAUGGCUGACCCCCAAGGGAUUCUGAUUCAACUACUGAAGAAGUGUUGAACUUCUGUAGUUCCGUAUCGUAAGUAUAAAGACCUUCCUCCAGACCCACCACUGAGACCUGUGUAAUGGUUCUGGACCAGGACAGAGGUGUGUUAAUGGGGGUCGUGAUGGAGAACUGUUUGGGUAGGAAGGAAGAUUGCAAGUGAAGAGGAAAGGUGUCCCAUCAGGCAGCUGGGGUAAAUGGAGAAGUCAGUUGUGUAAGUUUCCAUUGUGUUGCUAUGACAAAGUGCCUGACAAAAGUGACAUGAGUAAGGAAGGUUUACUCUGUCUCAACAGUGUAAGGUCACACUCAGUCACGGAGGAGAAGGCAUGGUGGCAGGAUCUUGUGGUAGCCGGUGGCACUGUGUCCACAAUCAAGAAACAGAGAGAGAGAGAUGGAUGUUGCUGGUUCUCAUUUCUCCCUUUUGUUUGGUCAGAGGCCCCAUGGAUAGUGCCAUUCACACUCAGGGUGGGGCGUCCCUACUGUGUUAAAGUUUCCUGGAAAAAACUCUCACUGACACAUCCAGAGGUGUGUUUCCAUGGUGAUACUAAAUCCAGCUGAGUUGACAAUGAAGAGUCACUAGCAUGUCAUAGGGGCCACUCACUUUCACUGGGAACUUGUGUUUCACAGAGGAAAAUCGCAACCACACUCAGCUCUACCCCCUUAUGAUGCUGGAGAUGGUGGAAACACGCAUGAUGACGGAGCUACUGAAACAGCAUCCCAGACUGUGUUCUAACGUGUUCCCGCCUUGAACCCCGCUGCAACAUUGAAAUGUUAUCUCGGUUUCAUUCCCCUUCUGGCUCCUUUGAGCAUCUACAAGCUCAGGGCAGGGAUCUGGGUUCCCAACUCACACAAUUACAUCGAGGGCUUUUUCUGUUUCUCUUUUUCCUUCCUUCCUUCCUUCCUUCCUUCCUUCCUUCCUUCCUUCCUUCCUUCCUUCCUUCCUUCCUUCCUCUCUCUCUCUCUCUCUCUCUCUCUCUCUCUCUCUCUUUCUUUCUUUCCUUUUUUUUAAGCAACUAAGUCAAAAGGCAUAGCAGACUUUGAAGGGAUGGAAUGACCCAAAAACACCCCUCCCUGGAGUUGAACAAGCCUAGUCUAAUUAACAUUGCUACAGGGAGGCACUUAAUUUUCCUAACAAACACAUACCUCGCAAGACACUAAGCAGUAAACAAGUUCUAAUAAGUGAUCAACAGGCAGGGUUUCCAGCAGUUGCUUUUGGACGGUCAGGGUCUUGGGCUGUAUUUUUUUCCAUUAUUAAAGCAGGCGGGGAAGGGGUGUUGGUGCAGGGAGAAGCUGGAAAUUACUGCCAGAGCAGAUCAGUUCCACUAAAAAUGCCCCAAACAGCACUCUCUUCCCCUGCCCUGGAAAUUAUGUGGCUCGCUCCACCCUUCUAAAUUACACUGUCCUGAUAGGCUUUAUUUUCCAACUAAAUAUACAGAAUGGAGAUAUUACCUGAUAAUGUGACCUGAGCUGCUUUUGGCCAGUCUCAUGUUUUUUUCCAAUAACAGCACAAGAGUCUGGAUGAUGGGGCCUUUAGAAUCAACAGCCAGCAUGGCUUUGUCCUGUGUGAAAAGCGCGUUGCCAGCUUCUUGUACCUCAGAACAGAGAUGAGCCCCAGGGGCUGUGGCUAUAGCCUGGAUGUGAUUUUGCACAAAUCACAGCCAAAGAAGGGGCGUGUACAUAUAUCACAUUUGAAUUUUGUCCAAUGUGUCUCUCUCUCCCUUUGUGCCUUCAUAAAUAAUCCAGAGCCUGCAACAGAGGAAAAGGAGGUGGUGAAAUCACUUCCCAAGCUUAAAGUAAUCAUACCUGGGUGUGGAAACGGCAGCCAAUGGCUUUGAACGCUGGUUAUGAUUUGGGACUGGGUGGACUUGCUGAAAAACCCACCUAGAGAAGAACCCUAACUGGUCCUUCCUGCCGAGAUGAAAACAUCCAAUUCUGAAAGGAAGUCUCAAGAAAGGCAAUCAUUUGUCCCCAGCUGGUACAAUCGUUUAAUAAAAUGCCUGCUGGGUUUCUAGAAGUAAUAUUUUGCUCUCUUCAGCAACAGUAAAAAUUACCCAGACAUGGAGGUGAUGGUGGGGGUAACUCUGUAUGUAAUACCAUACAGAACGUUCUCAACUUGAAGUGUAAGAUGCACAGAGAUAGUUAUUUGUUCUAUGAAGAUGUGAGGGAAAAGUUUCAGAGACACAUAGUAAACGGGAGAAGAAAAACAAAAACAAAAACAAACC
rnacentral:lncRNA from 1 species